GCAGACUCACUCUGUUCUUUGCUGCUUGCUCCAGCCCAGAACUUUUUCUGUCUGCUAAAUAAUUUUGCAGAAUGAAUUUGAUGGACUGGCUUCCUGUGACACCAGUUUUGCGUUUGUUCUGCCACAUUUGU
rnacentral:snoRNA from 1 species